rnacentral:lncRNA from 1 species
AUCUGACGAAUGUUUAAAUGCUACACUCAUGAUCUUAUUAUCCAUCAACUGUGUCUUGCUCACUAUGCUUAAGGAUAGAGAAGAGCAAUUACACUUUUGGUUCUGUUGGUGUUUUCCACCAACAGGGCCCAUGCACUUGAUCUCUGCCUUGUCUCUAUGAGCAGGUACACUUCGAGCAAAAUAUGAAGGACUUUUAUAACUCCCAGACUCCACCAAGUGAAGAACCUAGAUCUACGAGCACAAACACACUGGAGAUACUGGACACUCAGGCAAUCACUGCACUGAGAAGCUUGAGGACGUAACUACUGGAGUAACCCUGUUGUGGAAGUAAUUACUGACCUUCGGCCAGUCAAGAGAUACAAUCCAGGACGUCCCGUCAUCCCGAUCUCCAUCGGCAUGGUGGACUUCCUAGAAGCACUCUGCAACUUUGGCUCCAGCGUCAACAUUAUGCUUAGGGUACUCUAUGAAAAAUUCUUUGCACAUCCUUUAUCAGAAACAACCAUGGGUUUGCAGCUUGCAGAUCGUACACUAAGUUUCCCACAGGGAAUAUUGAAGAACCUCUACGUCCGAGUUGGUACCUUAUACGCUCCAGCAGACUUCGUGGUGAUAGAGACUUAUACUGAUGAGAGGGCAUCCAUCAUCCUAGGGAGGCCAUUCCUAAACACCUCGGGAGCUGUCAUCUACGCUAGUGCUGCUAAAAUCCAUUUCUACAUCAAGGGGAGGAAGGAGACGUUUUCCUUCAAGAACAAGGCUACACGAAUCUCAAAGCAAUCCCGACAUGAACCAAGGAAGAGGAUCAACAGGGGGAGCAGGAACAAGCAAAUAUAGACCGAGUCAGCUAAGAUGGUCACUGCAGUUCAAGGAGGUCAAGAUCGUCAACUCAAGUCACCUUUCUUGAUCAAGAAGGACGACCCUGGUGUUCCAAGCAUCGAGUGCACAACCAACGGAUAUUCUUUUCAGAAGACACUCUACGACACCGGAUCUGACGUCAACAUAAUGGCUGCAGUCACUUAUCAGCUCCUGCAUGGAACCAUGCCCCUACAACCAACAUACAUUCAGCUCCAGAUGAUUUUAAGGUUAUUGACAUGGGAGAAGACGAGUACGAUCCACCCAUCAUCCUUGGGAGACAGUUCCUCAGCUCCGUUAAAGCAAUCAUCUACAUUGGAACCGGAGAAGUCCACAUGCACUUCCCCUCUGAGAAGGUACGCCGCUAUUUUACUGACCUUAACUAUAUAGUUGAAGACUCUAAGCAGGUCAGGACAAGAAGGAGAUGACGCAACCGCUACCAGAGGAGGCAAAUUAUCAAUUACGGAUGGGCGGACUAUGAAGGAGAAGUGGUAAGGUCUGAAGACAUACAACUUGAACAGAACUGUCCUGAGGAGACCGUAGCACCGAGUCAGGUGUGUAGAGAGAAGAUAGUUAUACAUGAAGAGGAGGCACCGCCGGAACCACCGACUACGCCAUCCAGCGAAUCCCAGGACGACUGAGAAAACAUAGAGUCCCGUUCGGAGGACUUAAAAACACCGAACGCCUUGCCAAGAGGUAAACUUGGUAGUUAUCUUUAUUCUUUCAAUAUUUAAAAUAGUUUGCUUAGUUAAUUAGGUUCACAUCAUCUUGAAAAGAAAAUAAAAAUGUUGAAGAUAGUAAGCCCCAUGUGAGUAUGCUCAUGGCAUAAAACGCAUAAGUACAUUCACUGUGGUGGCAUAAAAAUGAAAUAAAUAUAUUCCUGUCCUAUAAAAAAAUUAUAAAAAUAAAAUUAUGAUCCUACUAAUGAGUAACAUUUAUUGAGGAGGCUCAACAUGAUAAAGGCUAGAUAUUUAUGCUAACACUUAACUAGUUCCACAAAGCUUUGUAGUUUAUUUGAGCUCCACAGAAUUCAAGGAUCAAAGAAGACUAGCAGACGAUGGACAUCCUAAUCGCUGUCAGGGUGCUGCCGACAUACCUCCGCCACCUGCUGGCUACAUCAGAAGAAAUUACGUUAAAAUCCAGCUUGGGGGAGAGCACCCCCAUUUAUCCAGCUAAGUAUUCUACUCACGUUUAUACUUUACUCUAAUAAUAAAAUGAUGCAUAAUCAUAGAAACCCAAAUAAAGAUUUUGUGCUUAUAUAUAUCUUUGCUUAGUUUGCUAAAUAAAUAAAUAAAUAAAGUCUGCUAUGAACCAUCAUGAUAAGCUCUCACAUGGAAAUGAUGAAUAGUUGCUCUGCCAUGACUAGUUCUCAAAAUUGAAAUCUCUCUCUCAAGUUUAGGCCUGGCUGUUAUUAAUUUGCUCUAAACCUGAACUUGUGGGAAGAGUACUUGAUCUGAAGUCUAAGUCGUUAACGGAUAUGAUAUGGGAAGGUUGAGCUGCUGUUUAUCUGUUCCUAGAGAUGCUAGAAUUCUGGAGAAUUUUAUCUUUGAAAAUCUUUAAAAUGUUGCAUGAUGAGUUCCUGUAUGAUGAGAGUUUAAAUUCCUACCACAGCCAUAUAUACAUGCUUGUUAGACUAUGAACCACACAUUUACUUUUUACUGCUUAUGAGCAUUGAGUGUGGUCAAGCUGUGUAGACCCUUAGGAGCUUGCCAUGUGGUUAAAUCAAGAUUCACUUGCACGUUCACUCACACAUGCUACUUCUACUCCAGAAGUACCAUCCACAUAUAUCCAUCCAUUUCCAUCUCUAGAACCACCCAAAAAUAUUCUACUCCUAAUCCGGUAGAGAAUAGCCAAAAACAUUCUCCUAUUUUUGUUUUUCACUGUGAAAAAAAUGCUCAAGUUAUCUUGGUUACUACCACUUGCUAUAUUAUUUCAGGAGAUGAGUGCUCAAAAAAAAGAAAGAAAAAAAGAAAGAAUGCGAGGAAAUAAAAAGGGGCAAGUGCCCGGAACCUCGAAGAAAAGAAAAAGUGAGACGAGAGGUAAAAAUGGACAAGUGUCCGACAGUAGAAUUAGGGGUACAAGAUACCCACCUAAGAGAAAAGAAAAAGAAAAUAUAGAGCAUCUCAUUCUCCUCAAAAAGUUUCAAAGUGCAAGAAAGGUAUGUACCCCCUCAAAAGAGCAAAAGUAGAAUUAGACUUUCACCAUUGUUAUUACCAUCGUCACCAUACAUCAUUCAUACGCCACACAUGCACAUCUUGAUUUGACUUAUUGACUUGUUCUUCUGGAUCCAUGGUUUGACUAUGCAAUAAAUGUCUUGUAAGUAUGUAUUAGCUGUCUCCCACCUAUGAGCUCCAGAUAUCAAAACCUUAUUAGAGUAGGGUGAGAGAGAAGGCAAUGUCACCGUGCCUUAUACCACAAAUACCACAUACUUUGAGAGAAGGCAUACACUAUUACUGCCUUGGUAAGGAUCCAGAAAUACCACAAAAGAGAGACUAGAGAGAGUCAUACAAGGAAUCUCUGAGUUUUAUUUGAAAAUCUACAAAAACUCCAGAGCUAUAGUUAAUCGAAGAACAAGAGAUAUGGCGCUUGACUAGACCGUUCUAUCUUUCAACUGCUCAAGACACAGGUGACAGUUGCAAGCCCCAUGGUGGAAGGUAAAAUGAGUAAGUUUAAAUCUUAACAGUUUACCCUAACCUAGAGAUGAGAUCUUGUUUGAACGCAUGUGUAUCUUUAAGGCAUGAAACCACUGUAGAAACUCUUGAGUUCAUCUUUGCUCAGGGAGGAGCAAAGGUUAAGCUUGGGGGAGCUUGUUGACGGUCCUUAAUGCUCACAUUUAACCAUCAACUAAUCAUGGAAAAGGAUCCAAAUGCAACCAACACCCAGACUUAGGGUUUUAUCUGACAGAAUUCCACGAGUUUUGGUGUUUAUCUAUUUCUGCAGGGGGUUAUCAGGAAAUACAGAAGAAAGGCCCACACGUCGGGUUUACAUAGAGAUAUUAACGUGUCGCACAAUUUUCUAUCAUUUAGAAGACUCCAGAAGCCACGGGAACGAACGGGAAGGCAAUCGGGCUCGGAGGUAGGGCGCCCGCCCAACUCUCCUGGGCGCCCGCCCAGCUACAGUGCCCAAUCAGGACACGUUUCGCGGAUUAUGCUCCACCGACCUAAAGGAUCAAGGAAAACCGUGCGAUUAAUGUCGGUUUGAUCCGACAGCCUAGAUUCAGUUGAAGGGACUAUAAAACCAGACCCCUGGCCCCUGGAGAACAUACCUCUUCUACAGAAUCAAAGCUAGGGUUUCAAUUCUUCAUCCAAGUAGAGAGGAUCCCUUUAGUUCUUCUAGUUCUACCUCUAGUUCAUCUAGAUCUAGUUCUAGUUCAUCUAGUUCUAGUUCUAGUUCUAGUUAGUUCUAGUUGUAAUCUAGAAAAUAGGGAGAGAGAAGAGGAGAGCGGAGGAGGAGUCGGAUCUGUCGGAUCUUCCUCAACAUUAUACUUUUGCAGCAUCUGGUUCGUUCUUCAUCAUUCUCCAGGUUCUUCAAUUCAUAACUCCUGAGUUCUCUAAUUACUUUUAUUUACAUUCAAGUUAUUUAUUGGAUUCCUGCUUGCAUCAAGUGCUCUAGUCUUUGAAACAUUAGAGUAGUAAUUAAUAGAUUAGACGUGGUGUUUAGUCUUGCGAUUACCUGGAAUUGCACCCAAUCCUGCGGAUUGUUGUGGUAGCCUUAGGGUAGUGACAGCCCUAACGGUCGACGUAUUCCACCACGUUCGGAUCGGUGUUUGUAGGACCGUAGUCAGAGCUUCCUAGCCCCCUUCUCAUCUCUUUCUGUGGUUAAUGUUCUAAUGUCCCGAUAUAGAUAAUCUUGAAGUAAUUCUUGAUUCUUAGAUCAACUAGAGAACUCUCAGGAAACUUCCUCUCUUCCCACCAAAAAUAUUCAUAUAGUUAUCCUUGGGCGAUCUUGGAUCUUAAUUAGUACACUCACGUUCUCUGUGGAAAAUCGAUACUUUGGAAUACUCCCGGGUGAAAGCUACAUCGGUAUCCGUGCGCUUGCGGAUUUUUCUGUUUGCGUUUAAAAUACCCAACAUUCAUGUGCUUGGUCAGAGGAAUGAAGCCUGGCACGAGGAGGACACCCUGAGGGCCCGAUAGCUAGAGCUUGAGCAGCAGUUAGCUAAUGCUGAGGAGUACAAUGAGAACUUGCAUGAGGAGAUCCACCAGCUGCAUAACCAGCUCCACCCUCACCACCUGCCUGGAGCAGCUGAGUUAGACUCUGAGGAUGAGAUGGAGGAGGAUCCAGAGAUAGAGGCAGCUACUAGUGGGGAUGAGGACGAUGAGGGCUUCGGCAUGGACAGUGACCAUAGCGAGUAGAUGCUAGGGUUCUAGAGCUAGUCCUUCUUCUUUUGUUGUUGUUGUUGCAUGGCAUGUCUUGUAAUAUGUGGAUCUGGGCUGUGUAAAACUUUAUGUGAUGACGCUAAAAGUCCAGUAUGUGUACACUGGCAAUCUCGGAUGUAUGCGAACCUUGUUGCUCGAAUGUUAAGUAAUCUGUUAGUGAUGUUGGGUGUGGAUGAUGAAUUGUUGUGCCUCUGUUUAUUGUGCGAAUUUAUUUUCCUCAGUAAAUUCAGUACGGCAUAAUUCUACAUAUGUCUACAGUUGAUGACAACUCCUAACGAUUGCUUAUCAUUGACGCAUGCAGAUGGUGCAAACACGUGGCGGGGGUAACAGCAACCCCGGUCUUGGGGUAGGUACCUCCGGAGGUGGGGCUCAACGGAAUGAGGAAAGAGCACCAUCACCGCCACCCCCACCUCCUCCGUACACUGCAGACGUGUUUUUCGUGCAGUUUCUGGGGAGCCAACGCAACAUGGAACAGAUGCAGCGCAACAUGGAAGAAGCCAUGCGCAAUAUCGCUGACAAUACCCACCGUGGGGAUAACCAAGGCGGCCGUGAAGCCAAUCAGUACAGCUCUUUCAAGGACUUCAUGGAUACCAAGCCACCAGUCUUCAAAGAGGCCUUGGAACCGCUCGAGGCAGAUGAGUGGAUCAGCACCAUGGAGCAAAAGUUCUGUCUUCUUCGGAUGACUGAAGAACUUAAAGCUGAGUACGCAGCACAUCAGUUGCAGGGACGUGCUGGGAUUUGGUGGUCCCAUCAUCGUACCACCUACCCAGAGGGGACCCCAAUCAUCUGGAACCGCUUCACCACUGCUUUUCGGGGAAAUUAUAUUCCUCCGGGUGUGGUGGAAAUGAAGGUUGGAGAGUUCAUGAGGCUGUCUCAGGGAACGAAGUCUGUGAAGGAGUAUCUACACGCUUUCAAAAAUCUCGCUCAUUACGGCCCCGAGUUUGUGAACACGGAGGCCAAGAAGAUCGCUAGUUUCGAGAGAGGUUUGAGCCCAAAGAUGUUGAAGACCAUGGGUACAGGAACCCGGGCUACCUUCGAUGCUUACUUCAGUGACUGUCUGACCUAGGAAAACAAUAACAACAACUAUAGUGCAUCCAAGUCUCGUAAGAGGGCUUUCGAAGCCGGGUCAUCGCAGUCUAGGGCACCGAUGGCAGGGCGACAACAGUAUCGUCCUCAUGCCCCAGGUGCUAGGUUCCGAUCGCCGCAGAGAAGGAACACCAGGCAUCCAACGCAGCAGAAGCCGUACAAGGUGGCAAUAGCUCCUGCCAAGCCAAAAGCAGUUCAAGAUGCGGCACCUGCCGCCAACAACAUGACCAAGGGGCCAUGCUACAACUGCCACAAGAUGGGACACUUUGCUAAGGAAUGUCCCUACCCCAAGAGGCAGCAGACGACCUACCCAGCUCGAGUGCACCAUUCCUCGAUAGAGGAGAUCCCGGAAGGAGAACCAGUAACAGCUGGUAUGUUUCCUGUCAACCAACAUCUUGUAGUUGUUUUGUUUGAUUUUGGAUCAUCGCAUUCAUUCAUGAGCCAAGCAUUUGCACAAAAGCAUGACCAAACAGUUACAGAUCUGGGUUAUGGCUAUCGCAUCAGCUCAGCAGGGGCAGAUGUAUUGACAAAUAGAGUGAUCCGAGGGGCAACCCUAGAUAUAAGUGACUGGGUGUUUUGAGUAAAUCUGGUAGUCAUGCUUGGAUUAGUUUUGGAUGUUAUCAUGGGCAUGAACUGGAUGAUAGAGUGGGAUGUUGUCAUAGAUACUGGGAAGAGCGUGUUAUCUCUCAGAGAACCCCAGGGCAGUGGAUCUUUUCAAGUACCUCUGCCCCGUUGCUUUGACUUUACUAGCAUCUCUUGUGCUACGCACGUGGUUCCACUACCAUAGAUCCCAGUAGUCUAUGAGUUCCCUGAUGUUUUUCCUAAGGAAUUGCCAGGACUUCCCCUAGAUAGGGAAGUAGAGUUCGCAAUAGAGUUGAUACCAGGCACCGCACCGAUAUCUAGAAGGCCGUACCACAUGCCACCUAAUGAGCUCGCUGAGUUGAAGAAUCAACUAAAGGAAUUACUGGAUAAAGGGUUCAUUCGGCCAAGUUCGUCAGAGUGGGGUUGUCCGGCGUUGUUUGUGAAAAAGAAGGAUCAGUCGCUGCGCAUGUGCAUGGACUAUCGUCCACUCAAUGCGGUGACAAUCAAGAAUAAGUAUCCAUUGCCAAGGAUUGAUAUCUUGUUUGAUCAGUUGUCCAAGGCAAAAGUGUUUUCCAAGAUAGACUUGAGGUCCGGGUCUCACCAAAUCAAGAUCCGUCCACAAGAUAUCCCGAAGACUGCUUUUUCCACCAGAUAUGGGUUGUACGAGUAUCUUGUCAUGUCCUUUGGGUUGACAAAUGCUCCUGCAUACUUCAUGUACCUGAUGAAUUCGGUCUUCAUGCCAGAAUUAGACAAGUUUGUUGUGGUGUUCAUCGACGACAUUCUGGUUUAUUCAGAGAAUGAGCAAGAUCACGCCGAGCAUCUAAGGGUUGUGCUAACACGACUACGAGAGCAAGUGCGAGUUCUGGCUGAAGAAAGUUCCUUUCCUAUGGCACAUUCUGUCUGAAGAGGGGAUUGCUGUGGAUCCAUCAAAAGUACAGGAAGUCAUGGACUGGAAGGCACCAACUUCUGUCUCGGAGGUUCGGAGUUUUCUUGGUCUGGCCGGGUGUUAUCGCCGUUUCAUACUCGACUUCUCCAAGAUUGCUAAGCCGAUGACCAGUUUGCUACAAAAGGAUCAUAAGUUUGUCUGGACGGAAGGGUGUGAGCUAGCCUUCCGCACCUUGCGAAAGUUGCUAACCACCGCUCCCGUUCUAGCGCAACCCAAUAUCGAGAAGCCUUUUGAUGUGUUUUGCGACGCAUCAAAAAUUGGCUUAGGAUGUGUGCUGAUGCAAGACGGUAGAGUAAUAGCUUACGCUUCACGAUAGUUGAGAAAGCACGAAAUCAACUACCCACUCACGACCUCGAGUUAGCAGCAGUAGUGCACGCCUUGAAGAUCUGGAGGCACUAUUUGCUGGGAAAUAAGUGUCAUAUCUACACCGAUCAUAAAAGUCUGAAGUACAUCUUCACUGAGUCUGAGCUGAUCAAGGAUUAUGAUCUGGAGGUUUACUAUCAUCCAUGCAAGGCUAAUGUGGUAGCAGAUGCAUUGAGUCGCAAACCGCACUAUCAAGUGGUUCAACCAUUCUUUGAAGAUGGUUUCAAUCUCAUGCAUCCUGAAGUCUUAUGUCACAUACAGCUUAGUUGUUCACUUGAGAGUCAAGUCAUCAAAGGCCAGAAAACAGACAAGGGUAUUUUCCACAUCAAAGAGAAGAUCAAAAAUGACCCAAGGACUCAAUUCAGAGUUGAUGAAAAUGGGGUAUUGUGGUUUCAACACCGACUAGUAGUUCCGAAGAAUCGAGAAUUAAAGAAUCGCAUCAUGGAUGAAGCACAUCUCUACAAGCUUUCUAUUCAUCCUGGCAGUAGUAAGAUGUAUCAAGACCUAAGAUCUCACUUUUGGUGGACUAAGAUGAAGAAAGAGAUAGCACCAUAUGUGGCCCGUUGUCACACGUGUUGUAGAGUCAAGGCUAUACAUAUGAAACUUGCGGGUCUGUUACAACUGUUGUCAGUACCAGAGUGGAAAUGGGAAGAGGUCAGCAUGGACUUUAUCACAGGUUUGCCGACAACACGAAAGGGAAAUGACUCGAUUUGGGUAAUCAUAGAUCGAUUGACCAAGUCGGCUCAUUUCAUUCCAGUUAAGAACACAUACAGACCUCCCAAGUGUGCCCAUAUAUAUAUAUGGCUGAGAUCGUCAAAUUACAUGGCAUUCCCAAGACCAUCAUAUCAGAUAGAGGACCACAGUUCACCGCUCACUUUUGGGAGCGAAUGCAUAAGAGUUUGGGGACUAGUCUGAUAAGGAGCACCGCAUAUCAUCCCCAAACCUCAGGUCAAACUGAAAGGCUAAAUCAAGUGUUAGAAGAUAUGCUGAGGGCCUGUGUGCUAUCGUCCAAGGUAUCAUGGGAAUCGUGGUUGCCUUUGGCCAAGUUCUCAUACAAUAAUAGCUAUCAAGAGAGUAUCAAGAUGGCUUGGUUCGAAGCUUUGUAUGGUCGGAGGUGUAGGACUCCGUUAAACUGGGUCGAAUCUGGUGAGAGAAGAUACUAUGUGAUAAACUUUGUGAACGAAGCCGAGAAGAAAGUACAAAUUAUACAACAACACAUGAGAGCAGCGCAAUCCCGAUAGAAGAGUUAUGCAGACAAGUGAAGAAGGCCACUCGAGUUUAAAGUGGGUGACUAUGUUUACCUCAAGGUUACGCCAAUGAAGAAAGUUCAACAUUUCCGAGUCCGAAGCAAGCUUGCACCCAGGUAUGUGGGACCGUAUCAGAUACUAGAAAGAAAAGGCCCUGUGGCCUACAAGAUUCAGUUACCUGAAGAGUUGAGUUCAAUUUUCCCAGUCUUUCAUGUGUCACAGCUACGGAAAUGUUUGAAAAUACCCGAGCAAAGGAUUGAACCCCAGGGCAUCAAGAUAAAAGCAGACUUAGAGUAUAAGGAGCAACCAGUGGGUAUCGUAGAUACCAAGGAGCGGGUAACCCGGAACAGACUUGUCAAAACAUAUAAUGUGGUGCGGAGUCAUCAUGACGAUAGGGAUGCCACCUGGGAAACCGAGGAUUACCUAAAAACAGUUUACCCAAAAUUUCAUAAGAAAUGGUUCGUAACCCAAAUCUCGGGAUGAGAUUUCCCUAAGGGGGGAAGGGCUGUAACACCCUAGGUGUUAAGCAUGUACUUAGUCUCAUAAACUCAUCCAUAAGCAUUCUCAUCAAGCAUAGCAUUGCAUGAACAUGUCUUUCACUCGAAAUGUGAUUUUAUGUGCCUUAUUUUAUGUGAAUUAAAUAUGGUAAAAAUAUCAUGCUUGCUUCUAAAUUCUUUAGUUGCCCAAAUUAAGUUGAAAUGGGUGUUAGAAUAUUUAAGAGUAAUUUUGUGAUAUUUUUGGAGCUAUAGAAAUUGAGAAAUUGAUUUUAUACUAAAAUUCCCAAAAAUAGAUUUAUUUAAAAACCUAUAACUAGUUUUGAGUUGUAUUUCAAAAUCUAUUUUGAAUUUGUGAAUUUGACUUAAAGCAAACUUGUAGGGUUUUUGUUUUGGGACAAUUUUUAUUUUGGGGGAAAAAGGUGAAAAUGAUUUUAAAGUGGUCCAAAUGAAUUUAGAAAGAGUUUGAGAAAAGGAAUUAAAAAAAAUAGAAAAGAGAAAGGGGGGCGCUAGCAGGCUGCGGUCUCACUUCUGGCCCUCUGGCCGAAGCCGGCCCAACCCGCCCGUGCUCUCCCCUUCCCCGCGCUCACGCCCGCGCCAUGUCCGCGCGUGGACGGCCGCGUGGCGAGCAUGCGGUCGCCUGGACGUGCCCUGGUCGGCCACCAAGAGCGCCCGGCUGCGCCCGCCUCCGCCCUCGCUGCCAUUUGAGCCCGCCAGCCCUCCCUCUCUCGCUCUCUCGCCCUCGCUCCGCGCGCGCAGAGCGCUGCCGUCGCCAUUGGAGCCUGAGCUCUGCCUCGACCGUUCUGCCCCAGCGCGUGCACCAUUCUUCGAUUCGUUCUCUCCCGAGCUCCGCCCUCGCUCCGCCGUUGCGGAACACGUUUCCGAGCGUUUGGUGAGGCACGGUGAGCCCCGCUCGCCCUCGUUUCUUCUCUGACGAAGAGCACCGCCGCCGCGCACGUAGUCUGCAUGCCUCCGUGCUUUCUGGUGCCGCUUAGUUAGCGCGCCGUGCUCGCCUCGGCACCGCGACGCUCGCGAGCCACUCCAAUCGCGCUCUACCGGGCCAGCGCCUCGGGACGACGGUGAGCAGCGCCGCCGCUCCACCAUGGCCGGUGGCGAGCUUGCUCCGGUCCGUUUCAGGCCACGCAAAAGGGUGCGCUGAGUUCGCCUUGAGCCGUAGAACGCGUUGGGCAGUUUGAUUCGCCGAAAGAGGUCGCCGACGGUGAGCUCCGGCUCGCCGGAGUUCUCCCCUCUCUGCGCUCUGGCCAGCAGGCCCGGCUGGCAGGCGGGACCGCUCGUGAGCGACCGCGGGUGCACUGCACCGGGUGCACCUAGCUGGUCCCGGGGUGGAUUUGAAUUGUUUUUUCAGAAAAAUGAUUUCCAGAAAAUGGUUUAAAUGAUAUAAAAUCCAUAUCUUGAGAUUUAUGGCUCCAAAAUUUGUGAAAUAAAUUUUGCUGUGUUCUAAAAUCUUAGAUCUAUAGUUUGGUUUGGUUGCAUGUCAUGUCUGGGCAAUUUUUCUGUGCAAUUAUAUUUAAUCCAUGUUUUUGCUGAAAAUUGUAAAAUGCAUAGUAAUUAAAAUAUAGCUCAGAAAAAUAUGAAACUUGUUUUAUUGGCUCUGCAUGGAUGAUUAGGCUCUAGGAAAAAUAUGUUACACAUUAUUUACUGUAUGAAUUUAUUUAUGGUGAUUUAAAUGCUUGCAUGGCAGUGGUUUAUGAUUUUUAAUAAAUAAUUGGAUCAUGCAAUUCAUCUGGAAAUUUUUGUGGGUGUUUCUUAUGCUAAUAAGUUAAUUAUAAAAAUAUGAAAUCUUCUGUUUGACACUUAUACUACAGUAGAGUAUUUAUACUUGCUUUUAUGAAUUAAUCUUGUGAUUUUUGUAGCCCAAAAUAAAUGUCCAAAUAUUAUGAAAAAUUUAUGGUAGACUUUAUGGUUGACUAGUGAUCUGCUAUAAUUUUUAGGGAAUUUAUGGAUAAGCAGAAAUAUAUGCUACUUUUGUAAGCCUAAAAGUGGAUAAAUAAAUUAUGAAUUUGUUAUAUAUAGAUUAAGUAAAAUAAAAGGGGUUUGGUGUAUCUUUGAAGCAUCUUGUGAGUUUGCUGGUUACACUUGAGGACAAUGUGUAGAAGAGGAGGGAAUAGAUGCUUAAGUGUGAUUGCAUGUUCUUGGAUGAUGUUGACUACCUUGUAAAAAUGACCACUUAAAUCAUCUAUGCAUCAUGUCAUGGUCAUUUGGUACCCUCUCAUAUAAGCAUUGCACCCCGAGCAUCUCACACUCCACUCAUGAGCACACAUGCAUCAUAUAGGCUCGCAGGAGAACGAGGUGGGACCCGAGGAGCAGAAGGAAGCACAGGAGCAGGAACCUCUGGGAUGUCAGAGCCCGGAGAAGUGCUGCAAGAGUGCCCGAAUCACAAGCCGAGCACGUUUGAGAAAGGCAAACCCCAGAGCAUUCUAAGUCUCCCUAUUCUCGCUAACAUAAAUGAUGUCUUAUGCUUGUUUUACUAUAUUGCAUUUAAGUGAUAGGAAUUGCUUGAUACCGUUGAUGCAUAUGUACUCCUUGAUAUCACCACUUGUUUACCUGCCUUGUCCUAUGUAGAUAGGCACGGAGUCUAUGCUUAGCUUGCUUAGUCCGGUAGAAGUCGGGUGAUUUCCUGUCACCUGCGAGAUAUAGGUGGAUACCUGCUUGAUUAGCGGUGAUUGCUUUGGGAAAGGAUAACCAAGUGUGGAAAGGAAUUUGAGACCGGGCAGGGUCUUAUGGUGGGUUGAGCGUAGUGCCCCUGCCUGUGUCGAUUAAGGACGGAUCGUUGACGGCCCUCUUGUCAUGUUGAACGCAUGCCCCACACUUAGCUGGAAGGAUAAGUCGUUCCGACCGUGAAGCCUGAACACUAUCCAGGCCAGGAGUCGAGCCGCCAUGCGCUGUAUUGGUGAUGGUUGAGGAGAACGACGAGGGCGCGACGCGCAACCUUGGUAUACCUUGGAUACCUCGGUCGCCGGAACGGUCCUCGGGUACAGGCGGUGCCUGCCGAACCCGCGAAUUGGUCCUGGAUAGUGUAACACGGUGAUCUGUAGCACACUUGAUCAGUGAGUGUUGUUUGUGUGGGGAAUAACUCGCCAGCUGGUUAGAAACCGAUUCGAAUCGCCAUCGCUCCUGGAUAGUGAGCACUUGACAUGAGCUUCGUCCUCGUAGUAAGGACUAUGGAACACUUGGGUUAUAAUGAUAAGUGAUUUUAUGAAUGCUAUGAUGAGGUACCAUCAUAUUACUACAUUUGUUGCAAUAGUACAGGUGCAAACCUAGAAAUAAGGUAAUGAUAAUAUCGAACUUGAGCUAAUUAAAAGAAGAAAGGUUUUCUUUAGGCUAUGUUAGUGGAACAGUGCUUUUAUGCAAAAAGUCUCAGCUACCCCACCAUAUAGCCUUCAUGAUCCUUGAAGAGUCUUUAUUUUGGUUUAUGACGGGUAAGUCUAGCUGAGUACAUUCUCGUACUCAGGGUUCUACUCCCAUGUUGUUUUACAGAUGGUCAAAUGUAUUAUGGUUAUUGCAUCCUCUGCUUGUACCCAGCAAUGGGCGAUGAUUAGACCAAGGGCGAUGGUCACUAUACCUCCUCUUUUGCUUUUGUGGGAAUGACUCAACUAUGGCACUGUACCGAACUAGAUGUGCGUGUGUGUUACUUUCAAACUAUGAAGCUUCCGCUACUUGAGAACUUGGGUUGUAAUAAUUUUAAGAACUCCGAUGUAUUUUAUGAAUGUUGUGAACUGCAUGUAAUUGUGGAUGGUGCCGCUGAAGUUAUUACGAUCUUGGGUGUAUGUACGAGUUGUGGUUUGAAAUCCUUCGAGAUUUCACGGACUACCGGGAUUAUAUGGGCAUAAGCUCGAUGGUUCGACUGUGUAAACGGUCAGUAUCAAGCUUAAUCUGGUGGUUCUGUUACACACCCCUCCAUGGAAAACUCCUUAUGCGAUCGAUCUUCUGUACUAACCAUUUCAUUUCUGGAAGGCGGUCAUGUGAUAAAUUGGUUGUGCUGAGAGAACCAUCAUGACUAGAGUUUCCCUUUCUGGAAGUAGAUAGUAGCUUCCCUUUCCAUCCUAGCAAUCUUGCACCUAUCUUAUCUAUCAAAGGUUGUACCUCGAUUUUGCGAUGCUUUUGAAUAUGGAGUGGAGACCCAGAUAUUUUCCAAGAAAUUUACAAAUUUUCCCGGGAAAAUUUUGGAGAAGUUGUGUUAUAGUAUUACUAUCCACCUGAAUGGGGAAAACUUCUGUUUUGGAGAUGUUGAUUUUGUGUGCUGAGCAAUCUUCGAAGAAAUUUAGUAAUGUGUAUAGAUGAUCCAAUUCCAAAGCUGAUGGGUCUGCAAAGAUGGUUGCGUCAUCGUCAUAGAGGGAGCAUCAAAGGUUUGCCGUCUUCGGUAGGAUUGGCCUAAGAAUGCCUUUUUGAGCUGCAAUCUCGAUGAUGCGCUGUAGCGGGACAAUUGCCAAAAUGAAUAGUAGUGGGGAUAGGGGGUCUUCCUGCCUCAAUCUAUGGGCGUGUGUAAUCCCUUAGGUUGGUUGACCAUUCACAAGCACCUUUGAUUUUGCUAUUCCUAGUAAAAAGAUGAUAACCAAUCUCUCCAUUUUGUACUAAAUCCCAAAGCUUCCAUGACCUAUAGCAGAAAGCUCCAUCCAAUGGAAUCAAAGGCUUUUUUCAGAUAUCAAGCUUGAUGAAUAAGGCUGAUCUCUUCUUUUUAUGAAGGAGUUGUAUAACUCUUUGGGCAUAUAUAAAAUUGUCAUGUAUGCAUCUUUUCUUGAUGAAGGCAUUUUGAGCAUUGGACACUAAAGAAUUCAUGUGGGGUGUGUCGAUGAAAUAUGGUCAGUAGUCUACCUAGGAUUAUGCACAUGAUAGUAGAUUGUCAGCAGACAGGUGGACAAGCUAUGAACUAGAUGGUGACGCAAGACUUAGACAAGAAUUUUAUCCAAGUUUGGCCGCCGUGAGGGCGUAAUACCUACGCUCUACGUCUGAUUGUAUUGAUUAUAUGAGAUGAGUUUAGUAUGAUCUAUAUGACCUGUCCUCUAGAGGACCCCUACCCCUCCUUAUAUACUAUAAAGGGACAGAGUUACAAGUAAAGUAUCCUAUUUGGUAUAAUACCUUCUUAUAGUCUCACGGUGCACGCCGACCAGCGUUGUGUGCCGCAUGUCUUCAUCUUGUGGGUCGGGCCACCUCUGAUGGUACGGCCCAUGUUGGGCCAUGAGGAUAUAGGGGUUUAUACCCCCACAACUAGUCCCCGAGAGCCAUGUAUUGUGAUGUGACACGCCAUCUUGAGCUUCUUCAACCAGCGUGUUCGACAGUCGAUCACCGUUGAGGUCGAAGAACCAAGUUGUCUGAAGAAUACCUGGUGCUCUUGAGAAAAAAGAUUUUUUUUCCUCAUGAAGUGUGCCCACUUGUAUAUUCACCGUAAGGUGAAGUGUGCCCACUUAGUCUCUGAGUCUGGUACUAGGAGACAUAGGCACGUGGUGCCAGGGUCAAAAAGAAAAUUGCACAUAGAAAUUCUUAUACUGAGAUAUAUUGCCAGAUGCAUCGUACUGAUGUAGUCCUCGAUCUUGCUGGAAGGUGAAGUAUGAGCCUCGUAGCAAGGUCUAAAAAAUUAAAAUCACCUUAGUCUAAUUCAUAUGUAACCGAGAAGAGCGAUCCCUAACCUGUGAUCGGAGAGUGAUCGGAGCAGUCCCCGAGCACAGCGUAGGGAGUGAUCGACGAGUCCCCGAGUGCGGUUGGGAAUGUAAACGUGUUCGGUGGUUGGAGCAGUCCCCGAGUACAGCAUAGGAACUGAUCGACCAGUCCCCGAGCGUGGUUGGGAACGUAAACAUGCUCGGUGGUCGGAGCAGUCUGAGCAUAGGAAUGGUCGAUGAGUCCUCAAACAUAGCUAAUAAAUAUGGAGAAUAGGUACUAUAUGAUAUAUAAUAAACUCUUGAGAAAAAAAUCAGCACAGGUGGUUUUUAGCUUUUUUAUUAUAUUAAAAUUAGCAUAAGUAGUUAAUUUAUUCUAGAGCUUGCACCAGCUCUGGUUUGACCAACAAUCUGGAGCAUGAGGUACGGAGCCGAGGCAUGCGUAGAAUUGUCAGUCUCGCCAGAGAGCUACUGCUGACCACUCGGAACGCAGAGGGUGGAUCUUGUGCAUGUGUGGGGUGGAGUUGGAGACAGUGUCGGCUUUGAAAAACUCGUGUAGGAGAAAAACCUAGUCGGCUAACCAAAAAGUUGUUUUAAAGGAGAAUCAUGUUAAGGACAUUAUAGAAAAUAUUAUGAUAAAAAUAAAUAAAAUAUGAGAAGUGCACUUAUCUUUGUACGGAAGUCUGGUUGGUAGUGAUAAAAUUGUCUGGCCCUCGAGCUUUCUAACAUAUUGUCAUGAUGGUGGUCGCGGUUGUCGUAGCGUCAUUCUUCACGGUGAUUAUUAUUACGACAUGACAUGCGGUCAGAGCAAGUAGGCCAAGCAACUUUGUCGAUAGCCUCGAGCAGGUCGGCAUUGUCGAUCUGCCUCCCUUUAUAGCAGUGAUGCGAGUAACGCGUUAUCGGCGUGGUCAGAGAUGUUGCUGGAGUGGUCAGAUCCAUAGCCAGCGUGGUUGGAGCCGCAGCUGAUGUUGGUGAAAAAGUGAUCGACGCAGAUUAGAUCUGCGCCCCCUCCAUGGCCGUGGCGGUGAAGUUAUCGAGGCCGGUGGUCCAGGUGAUCUGGCUGACAGUGAACGCGAGUCCGUCCGCCACGACCAGAUGAUGACCAUCUGGUUCGCCUGAGAAACUAUAUGCACACCUCCUACCUGGCGCGCCACUGUCGAUGAAAUAUGGUCGGUAGUCUACCUAGGGCUAGGGGUAUACCCAAGGUAGUAGAUUGUCGGCAAACAGGUGCGCAAGCUACAAACUAGAUGGUGACGCAAGACUUAGAUAAGAUUUUUAUCCAGGUUCGGCCGCUGUGAGGGCAUAAUACCUACGUCCUUCGUCUAAUUGUAUUAAUUGAUGAUAUGAGAUGAGUUUAGUAUGAUCUGUAUGACUUAUCCUCUAGGGGUCCUCGCCCCUCCUUAUAUACUGUGAACGGACAGAGUUACAACUAAAGUAUCCUAUUUGAUACAAUAUUUUUUUUGUAGCCUUACGGUGCACGCCAACCAACGUCGUGUGUCGUAUGUCUUGAUCUUGUGGACCAGACCAUCUCCGAUGGUACGGCCCAUGUUGAAACAUGAGGGUAUAGGAGCUAUACCUCCACAGGGUUCGAGACGGUUAGUUAAUAUUUUUGUAACAAGUUUGACCACGUUGUCUAGAAGGCUAAUUGUCUUGUAGGCCGAUGCCGUUUUGAUCUUUGGCAAGAGAACGAUGUUUGCCUCAUUUAUAAAAUGUAAUUUUGCCGUGCGAUGCCUGAAAAAUCUUGGAUGAUAUUUUGUUGGCUUUUUGCAAUGCUGCAAUUCCAAGUGCUUUGAUCUUAAUUCAGAAAAACUGUAUAUUGACGGUUCAGUUAAGUUUUUGGCCAGGUAUAAGGUUGGGAUUGUGCUCUAUCAAGCGUCAGGUGAGUGGCUUCAACCCCAACGGCAAGAAUCAGGUUUGUGUACCUUUAUUCGCAGGAAAGGAGAAGCGCCAAGGUAGCUUGAACGGUUGGUGCAAAGUAAAUGUCGAUGGGGUGUUCACGGAAUGCACAGGCAAAGCAGGGACGGGCGUUGUCAUCAGGCCCGUACCUAGAAUUUUAUGGCUCUGGAACAAAACAUAAUAUAGGGCCUCUAUAUCUCGACAAAUAAAAUAGCUUAGGUUUCAUUAUCUAAUGGUUACAGUUUUCAUUAAUAAGAUCUAUAAUAAGUACUCCAAGGUUCUAUGUUUGUCAACUAAGGCUAGUUUUAAUGAAGUUUUAUUGAAGUUUCAUGGAUAUUAAAUAUGUUACACCAUAUUAAUGAAUAGAGAGCUGAUAAAAGUUUCAUGGAAGUAUAGAUAGUUUUAUGGGAAUGAAACUCUUCUGCACUAUUUUCAAAAUAUAGAUGUGUUGAAAACUGAGCUAUAAAACCUGCAUUGAGGAUGGCCUAAGGUGAUCAUGUUUGUGUAUGUCCGCGCUUUUUUUAUUGUCACGAUUCGCAGCUUCGCCACAACAUUUAUAUCACCUCCAUCGAUACUACUUGCUAUUAGUAAUAGGAACGAUCAAAUCUCUCCAUAAGUGAUCGGUAAAUACUUACAUAGAUUCUUGCAAACUGUGUCAAAAAAACUAAAUAAGCAACUAACACUUAGGCUAAGCUUAAACUAACUAGACUUGAUGACUAAAUAAAUUAGGGGGCCUUAAUUUUUGAGGGCCUGGUGUGGUCGCGCCACUUGCGCUGCCCAAUAUACGGGCCUGGUUGUCAUCAGAGACCACCAUGCGGAGCUGCGCAAGUGCAGAGGAAGCUGAAGCCAUGGCUGUACAAUUCUAGUCGGUAUCAAAGAGAGCGAGCACGACAGACGCCGUGUCAGAAGUCAUGGGUAUUGGUGAUGGAAUGCAACAGUGGAAGGUCAUCCACGUGAAGAGAAAGCAAAAUCGCUGCUUGUGAGAAAGCCCAUUGAAAUAGGAACUCAGCACUCAGCACUCAGCAGUGUGGUGUUUCAAUAUGCCAGGUUGUGUUGAGCAUCUCAUUGCUUAGGUAUGUAAGGGGGUGCUUAAUUCCCUUUCUAUGUCAAAAAAAUUCUGGGUUUUGGUCUAUUAUUUUGUAUAAUGAAAUUAAACACCAUGCAAAAUUUAGCAAAAAGAUGGUUAUUCUCUAUUUUGAAAGCCCCAAAAAGUCUCAAUAGAUCACACUAGUACAAAAGUGCUCAAAGCCAGCGGUGGAACAUAAUUUUUACAGACGGUUUUAAUUAAAAAACACUUAUGAAAAGAAAUUGGCUUACCCGACUACAAAACCGCCUGUGAAAAUCAAUUUUUACAGGCCGCCUGUAGAAAUCAUGUAUUUCUACAGGCGGAUUUCUUAAGAAACUGCCUGUAAAAAUCAUAUUUCUACAGGCGGUUUCUUAAGAAAUCCGCCUGUAGAAAUAAUUUGAACUUGAAUUUUUUGAGUUUUUCAAAUGACCUCGUUUGAGAAAACCGUCAAAAUGAAAGUUGUAGAUCUUGAAAAGUUAUAAAACUUUAUAGUUGAUAAUUUUUUCAUUUGAAAUCAUCUUGUCAUCGAAAACUACGUUUGAAUUUCUCAAAUUUGAAAUUCAAAUUUUGUAAAUGACCUCGGAUGAAGAAACUACCAAUAUAAGAGUUUUAGGUCUUAAAAAGUUGUAAAACUUUGUAAUUGACGACUUUUCCAUUUGAAUCCGUUUAGGACCUCAAAUAAUCAAUUUAUGCUUGGUUUAUGAUAGUAUGCGGGGAACUAACCUCUAUUUCAAUUUGAGUGGUAGAGGAGUGGUAGUUGGAGUGGUAGAGGAGGGUACGCGCGAGGGUGAGGUCUCAGGUUCGAAUCCCACCGGCCGCGUAGCACGCAAUUUUACGCGAAAAAAUGCGCGACUUGCAUAUUUUACGCGAAAAACCAGUGAGCCUUCCCUGAAAAAAUGCGGGCCAAUAACCAGUGAGCCUUCCCUGAAAUAAAAUAUUUUUUUCCUAUUUUUAAAAACUGAUUUCAUAUUUUCUGGAAAAAUAUUUCUACGGGCGGUUGGCGUAACUGAACCGCCUGUAGAAAUACAUUUCCACAGGCGGUUCUCAGUUACCCGCCUGUGGAAAAAUUUAUUUCCACAGGCCACCAAUCACAGGCGGUUCGCGAAACCGCCUGUAAAAAGGGGUUUAGAAUGUAUAGUAUCUCUGUGUACUAGUGUCAUAAUGAGAGCAAUAAAUUCUGUAUUUUAGAUGGAACUAAACAUAACUCUGAAAAAAUUAGCAUUUUGUAUUUUAUCGUUUCAAUAUAGUUGACAUUUUGUAUUUUAUAUUUUAUGGGGAACUAAACACCACCUAAAUCAAACUAUUUUUGAGUAAUAUUUGACCCUCUUUUCUCGGGGAAAAAAAUCGUUUGAGGGACAAUUAACCCCAGUUGCGUGCUAGCCAUCCGCAACUCGCAACUGUGUGGCCAGGCUUAACGGAGUUUCAGUUCAAACAUUUAUUACUUUCUUUGUUCAGUUUGAGAAAUGUUGUGAGGAAUAGUAUUAUGACGUAUGGAUGAGACCAUCAUGAUGCGAUGCAUUACUACUUUUUGCUGUCCUUUUGAAUUAAAAAGUGACAAAUCAUAAAUUGAGGUAAAACUUUUGUAGAUUGCAAAUUUACUGGAGGGGGGGGGGGGGGUGCAGGGUAGAGCUCGAGCGAUGUGCAAUGCCUGAGCAUGUGUGAUGGUGGACCAUGUACAUAUAUAUGAUUGGUUACCUUUGCUUAGGCAAAAUGUCAAGUGUGAAUGUAGAGAGAAGGGGACGUGGGACCACGGUUGGGCUGGACCAAGAAGGAAAAGGGACAAAGAUAGGUCUACGUUGGGUUGGACUAAGAGAGAAAAUGGAUCUCAAGAGUGGAAUUGGCAAGGGAAUAGAUCUCAAGCAGCAGCAACAUAUUCCUGUUGAGCAACCAAUUUUUAUGACAUAUGGACCACAACCAACAGGUUUUCAUCGUUAUUGAGGCUGGUUUAAUCAAGAGCGAGGCGCAUGUUCUACCGUACUUUAGGCCAUAUUACACAAGGUACACAACUCCUAGAUAUUUAGAGAACUUGUCAUAUUACAAAGACCGCUUUGAUCAGAAUCGGUCCGGAGCUCAACCAAAGAAGAAAAUGUUUAAACAAAUUUACCAUGUCAAAAAAGAUGGCCAAAAGGACAAAAGUUCAGAUAUGAAUGCAACUACUGAAAAGGUUGAUUACAUUUUUGAAAAAUCUAGCUAUUGAUGGCAAAGAAGUGGGAAAAUCAUUUAUUGAUAUUCUAGAUGCUGAAUCUGAACAAAAGAAGGUGAAAGUUGCCAUAACCAAAUAAGAUUUGCCGCUGUUCAAAAUAGAAAUGAAACAAAAAUGCUCACUCGCUUUAUUAAAGUGGCGGCCUAGAAGUGCUAAAAGAAAAGGAAUUGGCAUUGGUUCCUAAUAGGAGGCUCAAGUUCAGAAGGAUGAUGCUCAAGUGAAAGGUGCAACAAAGCCAAAUGACAGGAAAUUCAAGAAACAAUUGUCAAGUUGUAGGAUUCAUCAUAAUUAUUGGUCAUGGGUUCAUCCAUAUUCUGUGCAUAUGCCUAUGUGAAAUUCAUUCCUUGGUAUGUUUGGUUUUCUCUUAAUUCUUUAUUUUGAUUCUUGGUAUGGGUCUUUAUAUUAUGAAAGGUUGCCAAAUCAUUUUGCUUAUCAAUGAUUUCAUAUUCUAAGAGCUGAAGUAUUGUAUUUUGUCUAUGUAUACUCGUGUGGAUGGAUUUGUCCGGCCCAUAUUUUGUUAUUUCCCUUAGUGUAAAAGUGUAGCCGAUCAGAGCCGUAGCCAGAGGUGCCAGAGGUGCUAGCAGGGGCCAAGCACUACUAGAGAACAGGGCUUUGGACGAUGCCCGAAAUCUACAAUUAUUUUGGCUUUUUUGCGCCCCGGGGAUAAAAAGAUUUUUAGUCCUGGCCCGUAACACGCGUCGGGACUAAAGGCUCCUGAAAGGUAGCCGUUGGGCAGGAGCCUUUAGUCCCGGCGCGUGUUACGGGCCGGGACUAAAGGGGUCCCUUUAGCCUCGGUUGGUGGCUUGUCCUGGGACUAAGGGGACCCCUUUUAGUCCCUGUUCUUUCUUCAGCCCGGGACUAAAAGCCCACGCUAUAAAUCCCGGUCACUUCUUAUUGAUCGCGACCGAGCCCAUUCAAAUGUUAGUGAACUGUUCUUGCUAGUUCUUGCUCUUGCUAUUGCUAGUUCUUGCUUGUUCUUCAUCUCCGGCGCCCAUUGGUGAUCAUCUUCGACGCCGUCAUCGUUUCCCUCGGUCUAGGGGUAACUAACUUCAUCCUUCCUUGUCAUUUUCAUGUUGUUUUUGUCUUUGUGAUAUUGUCGCCAUUGUUUUGCUUAAAAAUUCAAUGGUUAUAGUUUGAAUCGACGUCACCGGCGCCCAUUGGUGAUCUUCUUCGACUUCGCCAUCGACUCUUCGUGUUUAUAGGUAAAUAGCUUCAUCCUCCGUCGUCAAAAAAAAGUCUCAAAUAAUUAAUUAUUAUAUAAUAUCUUUACAACCCACUAUCAAGUAGGCACAAUAGUGAACCGCUUUUUAACAUGUCAUUAUAAUCCUUUUAAUAAUCACCUCACAUGUUCUCAAUUUCGACGGCAUUGGCAUUGUUGAUAUUGAGUAGCAGGAACAGCUUCUUGAUGUUGCCCUGCAGCGCCAGCAGGAGAAAUAGUGAACUCCUUUGCAGCGUCACCAUGAUGGCCUCGAGGUAGACGAUAGAGUAGACCUCGUGGGCGUGCUCGUCCAUGACGUGCUCGUAUAGACCCACGCUCAUGCUGCGGUAGCUACAGCCAUCGUCGAUGCCCUGUCGAUGGCUGCAGCUACUCGGGCAUGAGUGUGGGUCUGUAUGAGCACGUCAUGGACGAGCACGCCCAUGAGGUCUCCUUCAUCGCCUACCUCGAGGCCUUCAUGGUGACGCUACAAAGGAGCUCGUCAUUUCUCCUACUGGCGUUGCAUGGCAACAUCAUGAAGCUGUUCCUACUGCUCAACAUCAACAAUGCCAAUGGCGUCGAAAUUGAGGACAUGUGAGGUAAUUAUUAAAAGGAUUGUAAUGAUAUGUCAAGAAGCGGUUCACUGUUAUGUCCACUGGGUUGUAAAGAUAUUAUGUAAUAAUUAAUUAUUUGAGACUUUUUUAUGAUGUAUUUAAAUUAAUAUAUGUUUAGUAGUGAUUUAUGAGCUCAAAUUUAUUUGUUAGUUUGAGCAUAGAGUUUAUCAAAUUGACAAGUCUAGCUAAAUUGAUAUUAUAUAUGCAUAAUUUAAGAAAUGAGUAUGGAUAUAUAGUAGAUGGCCACCGGGUCCUCAGUCUCUCCUUACCGGGAUCCAAAGCAUCUGCGGCCGGAUCUUUCUAGCAAAAGAAACAUUGUUAGAAUUGAGGACAAGUCACACAUGUCGGGUGAUUAUGAAAGGGAUGACCGAAUUCCGCCAUUCAAAGUGAACAAAGACCCAAGCAUUUUGUUAAACAAUGAGGACACUCCAUGGUUAAGGGACGAUCAUAAUCAAGGCUCAUAUGUCAAGAAGAAGUUCACUAUUGUCCCGCAUGAUAGUGGGUUGUAAAGAUAUUAUGUAAUAAUUAAUUAAUUGAGACUCUAUGUGAUCCAAGACUUUGUGACUAGAGUUUACAAACACUUUCUCAAAUGCAAAAAUGUUCUAUGUAUGGAAUGUGUAUCUUGAUGAGCUCUAACUACCUUGUAUUCAAAAGUUUUCUAUUUGAGGUCAUUUAGUGCCUUGUUUGACCUAGUUUGACCAAGUCAAACAUUGGAUUUUUCAGAAAAAAAAUACUUUCACCGAACCCUAGAUGGUCUCAGCUACAGAACUCAUGAAUACAAAGUUUGUCCACCUUAUCAAGAUACACAUUUGGUGUAAUGGUCAACUUUUCAUCUGAGAGGGUUUGGACCACUCAAAUUUUGAAAUUUCAAAUUUUCACGGCUACACGCACAUUUUCGGGACCAUAGACGGCCUCAACUCGAAAAGUCAUUACUCGCAAGUUUGUUCAACUCUUCAAGAUCUACAUUUGAUACAUACGACAUUUUUGCAUUUGACAAAGCGUUAUGAAAGUGGAGUUCUAAAUCUACAGGUCCCGCGUAUAGUUUUAUAAAGUCUCUGUGUGAUUCAAGACUUUGUGACUAGAGUUUACAAACACUUUCUCAAAUGCAAAAAUGUCCUAAGUAUGAAAUGUGUAUCUUAAUGAGCUCUAACUUUCUUGUAUUCAAAAGUUUUUCAUUUGAGGUCAUUUAGUGCCUUGUUUGACCAGGUUUGACCAAGUCACCUCGUGGGUUUUCAAAACAUGUCACUAGAGUUUACUAGAACUUUUCUAAAUUCAAAAUUAUACUAUGUAUCAAAGGUAGAUCUUGAUGAGCUCUAACUACCUUGUAUUAAAAAGUUUUUUAUUUGAGGCCAUUUAGUGCCUUGUUUGACCUAGUUUGACCAAGUCAAACAUUGGAUUUUUCAGAAAAAACACUUUGACCAGACCCUAGAUGGCCUUACCUAGAAAAGUCAUGAAUACAAAGUUUGUCUACCUUAUCAAGAUACACAUUUGGUGUAAUGAGGGUUUGGACCACUCAAAUUUUGAAAUUUCAAAUUUUCACGGCUACACGCACGUUUUUGGGACCCUAAACGGCCCCAACUCGAAAAGUCAUGAAUAGCAAGUUUGUUCCACUCAUCAAGAUCUACAUUUGAUAUAUAGGACAUAUUUGCAUUUGAAAAAGCGUUAUGAAAGUGCAGUUCUAAAUCCUCAGGUCCCGCAUAUAGUUUCAUAAAGUCUUUGUGCUUCAAGACUUCGUGACUAGAGUUUACAAACACUUUCUCAAAUGCAAAAAUGUACUAUGUAUCAAAGGUAGAGCUUGGUGAGGUUGAACUCCUUUGUAUUCAAAAGUUUUUCAUUUGAGGUCUUUUAUUGCCUAGUUUGACCAAGUCAAAUAUUGGAUUAACGUUCAAAUGAUGUGAAAAUAAAUUUAUGUGGACCUCUAGGUUAUAAAUAAAUUAUUAAAUGAUGUGAAAAUAAAUUUCCCAUUAGAAACCAACAAUUGUUUGAAUUAUAGUUGAACAAAAUAUUUUUGCAUUAACAAAAUACUUAAUAUUAGGAAAAUUUGUGUUUAAUAUUUUCAAAAAAACAAAGAGAUUUUAAGUUACAAUUUUUUACUAAGUAAAUUAAAGCAAAAGUAAACACAUAUUAUUUUUUGAAGAAAUUAUGUCAAGUAUUUAAUUUUCUGUAUAUUUAACAAAGUUUUAGCCUUUAAAUAAAAAAAAACAAAAUUAAAAAACCCAAAACUAAUGUAACUGGGUCUGUGGAAAAUUUUGAGCCUUUAGUCCCGGACUUUGCCCCCAAAAUUUUCCAGAGCCCGCGCGCGGGGAGACCUUUAGUCCCAGCUGGUGGAUCGGCCUGAGACUAAAGACCACCCUUUAGUCCCGGCUCUUAUCAUCGGCCAGGACUAAAGGGUUUUUAGUCCCAGGCCUAUCUAUCAGGCGGGACUAAAGGUCCCCCCACUAUAAGUCCCCUCAUCUUUCUUCAGCCAAGAUCAGCCUAAGUCCCCUCGUCUUUCUUCAGCUGCUGCCGUUGCGCCUCAAUCUUCUCCGGCCACCGCCGCGUGCUAUGGUCUUCUCCGGCCACCUCCGCGCGCUCCUCGGUGGCCCCGUCUUCUCCGGCCACCGCGCGCUCCUUGGCGGCCCCGUCUUCUCUGGCCAUCGUACCGCGUCCCCCGCGUGUGUGUGCGCGCGCGUCUUCUCUGGUCGGCCACCGCCUCGUCUCCGACCACCACGUGCGCGCCUCGAGCUCUCGAGCACCGCCGCCCCCGGCACGCGCUCCUUCGGCCACUGCGCCACCAUUUUUUUCUCUAGCCACUGCACUGAGCUUUUAAGAAAGAACUCGAGAGGUUGUUCAAAAAAUGACAGAUUUAUGUUAUGUUAUUGUAUAAAUUCACAAGUUAUGUUAUUGUAUAAAUUCAUUUGUUUGUGGCAAAUAUUAUCCAAUCAUAGACUAACUAGGGUUAAAAGAUUUGUCUCGUGAUUUACGAGCAAACUGUGUAAUUAAUUUUUAUUUUGGUCUAUAUUAAUGUUUCAUCCAUAUGUCGUAAGAUUCGAUGUGACAGGGAAUCUUGAAAAAUUUUUGGUUUCUGGGUGAUCUAAACAAGGCCUAUGUUAUUGGAUAAAUUGAUGUUAGAUACUAUUAUUAUUUCAUAUGAUUUGUCCAUGGUAUAUUGUAGGUUUAUUAGUUUGUUUAAGGGAGAUUUUGAUCUGUCGCACAUUACAUGCGCAUUAUGUCAUUAUGUGUUUUCCUUCUUGCAUUAUACAAACCUAUGGUGAGCUAGGAAAUCAAAUUGGCUUACCAAUUUCAUUUGUGCUGAUAUAUGUAUUCCAAAUAAAACCAAUUUGGGUGAAUAUAUUUUUUUUUGCAAGCACAAUUUGGGUGAAUAUAUAUUUUUUCCUCAUCUUUUUAAGAAUUGUGUGGAAUUGCAUGGUUUUCCACCUGUAAAUAUAAUUGUAUGUAUUACUAUAUACUUCCUCUGUCCAUGAAAGAAUAUAUGGACCAACUGAACAACUUACACUCCGAUCCCCUUCUCUAGGAAAAAAAUAAUAUUGUCUCGUGAUUUUUUAUUUGACAAAUAUUGUCUAAUCAAGGAGUAACUAGACUUAAAAGAUUCAUCUAUAUUUAAUGCUCCAUGCUUGACUAGUAUAUAGUUUUUAUCUAUAUUUAAUGCUUCAUACAUGUGCAGCAAAUCGAGAGUGAACUAAACAAGGCUCCAUGCUUAUAUAUAUAGACAACUGUCGAUCCAAGGGAUCAACAAAUCGAUGAUGAGGCCAUCAUGACGAAUCUCAUCGCUGGUGGUGACGAACAAAUCGAGGGUGAUGAUGUGGGAGUCGAUACUUGCGGGCAGAUUAUGAGGAGAUCAUGCAGAGAUCCUUCCCGCCACCUAAUGAGCAACAAAUUAUCGAUCAAGCCAAUACUGGCAAGGUAUAUUAAUUAUACAUGUUUAUUAGGGAUUAGGGUUAGGGCUUAGGCCAGGUUUAGACUUUAGGGUAUAUUGCAUCUUGUAUUAAUUUCAUCUUCGUGUCUUUAUAUAUGUUGCCCUCUAGAUCGACAUCUACGACUGGGAAGAGCAGACCGGUUUGAGGGCUAAGAGCGUCUCCAAGGGACUUUGCAAAUGAAUUUUGCAUUUGGUGUUGUUUGCAAAGUCCCAAACUCAUUUGUAAAGUCUAAAAAAAGUCUAAAAAUUUAGACUUGGCAAACCCAAAGUGUGGACCUCACCCCCGAUUUUUUUUUCAUCGAUCGCGCCUGCGCGUUUUUUUUCCUUCGCGCCAUUUUGACGUACGCGCGCACGGCAGCUGGAGGAACGGCGGGCACGCGUGGCAGCUGGAGGUCAGGCGCGCGCGAUAGGGAGGGCGGGCGGGCGCGGCAGGGAGGGCGGAUGGGCGUAGAGAAAUCGCGCGGGGUGGGGGGCGAGGGGACGGAGUCCGACGUGGAAGGCCGAAAUUGUAGAUGCAAAGUGGUGGGAAGGUUUGCAUAUAUGCAAAGCCUCAACCUCUAUUUGCAAAGUUAACCAAAUUGCAAACCUUAUUUGCAAAACCAUUGGAGGGGUAUUUUCUACUCUUUUUUGCAAAUAGAGCAAUGCAAAGUUUGUUUGCAAAGCCCUUGAAGAUGCUACAGGCCAACUACUAGGACCACAUGCAAAGACAUAGGAGGGCCGUCUCGUAAUCUCCGAAUUCGACGAGGCUACAGGCCAACUACUAGGACCACAUGCAAAGACAUAUGUCGGUCAUUGUGGUUACCUGGUGAGGGAUAGGAUACCGAUCAGUGCUCCAGAAUGGAAGAAGAAGCCAAGUGCUCCUCAUACCAUUUUUAUGUCCGAUCGUGAUAAAUCCGACAUAUGGACUAACAUCGGACACCAUUUCAUGUUCAACACGAACAAUGACGAGCUGAAGGAGAGAAUCCGAGAGUGGACAAUGAAGAAGAUGGCAACACUUUUUCAGGCUUGGAAGAAGAACUUGUACACCAAGUUUGUGAAGAAGAACGAGACGCCAAAUUUCAGCACCAAGGCGUAUGCCAAGCUAAGGCCCUUUUGAGACGAAUUCGUGUAGUACAAAACAUCAGAAGAGAGCGAAGCUAUUAUCAGGAGGAACAAAGAGAAUGCUACAAAGAAGAAAUACCACCAUCAUCUGGGAUCAGGUGGCUAUAUGAGUGCCAUUCCAAAGUGGGAGAGAAUGGAAUGGGAGAUGAUGGCCGCGGGGUAGUACCUCAGACAAUAUGGGAGAAUUGGGCUGAACGCUCGAAGCAAUGGUUAUACGGUCAUGGGGGAACCGUAGAUCCCAUAACUGGGUUGCUAGAUUGGGGCCUAGAAAUCUCAAGAGCAACAGAGAGGCUAGUUCAUGCAUGAGUAGAGGUUGCAUCUGGUUUAUUCAAGCCCAAUAGAGAGAAGGAUGAACUCAUGUACACCCUUGAAAAUCUAGUUCCUUCCCAGCUGAUUGAGGAACUUAUAGAAGUCGCCAGAGAAAGGAGGAGGAGGUAGAGCGGAUUCGUUGGAGGUGUUUAUGCAUAGCUCGCAAGAGUGUGAAAGAAGUUGAGAGGAAUGGAUGCAGGAGGAGAUCAAGAGGCAAGUGCAAGCAGCAAUUAGUUCUAUGACGAGAGGGGGGCUACAUCAUCAUAGCCGGCAAACAUCAACAUUAGCCCCCCAGGUCAGUUGAAGAGCAGCUGCGCCUCCACAGAAGUACGAACCGCCUAAGCUAACGUGAAGCUAUGGUUCCUCAUGGAUGACCUCACAGAACAAGUUAAUUCGUGUGAGCUGCACAUUCCAGAAGGAACCGGGAUGAAGAAGCUGGUGGUCAGUGUUGUAAAUGCUAUCGACCGGACGAGGACACCAAGAAUCUAUGGUCAACUAGUACCAGAAGGAUAUGCUUGUGUCUCGGUAGAUAGGGUGGAGAGAGGUUGUGUCAGCAUGCCUCUCGACAUUGAAGGGGCAGAUGGGGAGAAGACUCUAGGUGAGGCGGAGAAGACAUUCAUUUGUUGGCGUAAGCGCUUCAUCAUCAUUCCUGGCGUCUCACCGCCGCCACCUCGUCUUACUGAUGAUCAAGAUCCUCAGCAUAGGUGCGUAGAUUCAAAAACAAUUUAUUCGCUAACAUCCUAUAUAUAUGUAUAUAUUGAAUUCUAAAAUAUAUAGCUUAUAAAUACUCACAACAUUCGUUGUUUUCCUAGCAGGAACUUCAAUCCAAGUAUUCAUUCCCCAGCGCAUCAUAGUGCUGUGGGUGGUGAAGAUGCAUUGGAGGACAUGACUGCAACCCCAUCUCCUCCACAACGGUCUCCAACACCACCACAGGCCGCACCCACCCUGCCACCGCCUUCACCACUGCCUCUAACACGGUCUCAAAUGCUGCCACGGGCCGCACCAUCCCUGCCACCGCCACCACCUCAAGCCAGUAAGAAGAGGUCCGCCCCAGCACCAAAGGCUUCGGUCCCACAUCCUACAAAGAAGCAGGCUCAUGCUCCCUCUGGUAAAAAAGCAGCCAAUGAAAAGUUGUCUUAUGAGAAGAGUGACAAGGACCUAAUUGCAUCGGUUGCUUCAGAUGUGAAAGCACACUUUGAAAAAAACUAAAAAGGAAAUUGAAGCGAAGCGGAACCCUAAAAAGCCAUACCUCUUCUUACCAAAAGGGAAGCUGAGGAAGAGGGUGGAAGAGCACAACCGAAAAAUGCACGAAGCUCGAAAGCCUGUGCCAAAGUCGGACUAUGAACGCCAACUACUAAAAGCUGUAAAAGCUCAACCCGCUAAGAAGAAAGCAGGAAAGGGUGUUCCACAGCUCAGGGACACAUCAAGACCUUUGUCCCCGUUAAUUGUGGUAGAUCAGUAUGGUUCAAAUGUGGGCGUAGUAUAGAGGAAAUUUGGAGAGCCCACUUUGUCUAAGAUGGACUCACUUGAAAAUUAUUUCAUUAAGAGCGGUCUCCCGUACUCCACAAUUAAAAAUAUUGCUGCUGGGCUAGAGUUUCCAUGAGUGGAAGUAGUUGAUGAAUGGAGGAAAAAUUUUGCACCGGGCAGGAGUCUAAUGAUCCAAGCACCUACAUGUACUCAGUACAUAGAUGUUUGCAAUCAACAAUUGGUCCAUGGAGGCUUCUAAAGGCGGAGUUGAUUGGAUUUCUGUUCGAAUUAGAAACCAUCACUACUACCGUUGCGAUGACCUUAUCUUAGUCCAGAUGAGCGAAUUACACCAGCUAUGCCACAUGGACGCUCUGGACAAAUCACUCAUUAGCUGCUUUUAUUUAUAAGUAUUUCUUUGUUUUUAUUAAACUCUCUAGCAUGUCUAUAUAGUAGUAAUCCUUACACACGUACUUGUCGAUGGGCUCACUAUAUGCAGGCUCCAAAUGACUGAGCUCAGAUCCAAAAACGACAAUACUCUUGGAUUUGUUGAUCCUUACGUUGUUUUCAAGGAGCCAAACCCUUCUGCGACUUGGAUCAAUGACAUGUGUACGAAUCUUAUGAGGUUCUUCGUGAACCAAAAAGACAAAAAAAGAAUACUCUUCCCCUACAACUUUAGGUGAGUUAUAUAUAUAGUUAACAUGCAAGUGUACUAGAGCUGACGGCUCUCCAAGUGUGAAGCUUGGAAAAGAAUCUCCUCGGCAUCGGCUGGAAUUUGGUCACGAAGAGUCUUGAAUAGAGCUUUGGCUGGAUCAGAAUCGUCCACCAAUUGAGUAGUGUCUUGGUGUAACAAGGCCAGCAGGUCUUCCAGUUUGGCUCUGAUUUCUACCGAUGAGAUCCCUAUUGCUUGGGAGGAGCUUGCUUCUUCGCCCUCAUCAUCGGAAAUCUCAAUGGCGAAGGAAAAUAAGCUAUCCGGAGAGUCUUGUUCCUGAAAGAAAAUAAGAUAAGUUAUUUGAUGAUCGAAUAUUAGUAAUAAAGGGUGGAAGUCAGAUGACUUACUUGCUUCAAAGCUAUCUCACGCCUCUGGCUGAUUGAUGCCGUCGGUACCACAUGUUGAUCGGCUGGAGUUGCUGAUGGAACAAUGCUAAUUGAGAAAUAGUGAGAGUAAUUAUGAAUUGAAAAAAUAUGAAUCCAUCGGUGGUAAUUUUAUGAUCAGUAUUUUACCUUGAGGGGGUGUAGUGCUUGUCUGUUCUGGAGGAACAACCGAUGAUAUGAUUAGAUCCGCUGGAUCGGCAGUCUGCUCAAGCACAUCGGCUAGCGCUUCUUCUGGCUGAGGUACUGAUUGAGAAGGGGACGGUGCUUGCUAUGUCUGGAUUUUUGGAGAAGAGGGGGAUGAUUCCACAUGAAUCGGUGAUACUGGACGAGGAGGAGAAGGCGGUGCUGUCUUCUGGCGUUUUGGUUGCGCCUUAGUGCUUUUGGGACCUUUUCUCUUGGCUUGGCUGGGCUGGGGGGCAUCGGCCCUUGUUUGAGCACUUCUGGUUCUUGCGAAUUUGCUGGCCUGCUGUUACAACAACAAAAAUUUCAUGAGUACAAACAUAACAGAAUAGUGAUGAAAUCUUGUUGAACAGUAAAAGUUACCGAUGAAGUUCCCAUAGCAGCCGAUGUGUCCUGAAAAGCUUGUGUGAGUAUAGAAUGGAAUUGGUAUAAGCAGAGGAAAUCAAAAGUAUACCUUGAAAGCUUGUGCCAAGGUAGCCGCAGCAAACGUUGGAGAUGUCUUUGACCGCCUGGUGGUUAUCUUCUUGAAACGCACAUUCUGAUGCAUUAGAGCUGCCAGGCUUGGUGCGUUGUUGCCGAUCACAGAAAUUGGGCGUGACGGGAGAAGUUCAAUCAGCCUUCCACUUCUGCUGAUUGUCGGUGGUGGGUUGUCGAUCUGUUUAAAAAGGAAAGUGUGAAUUACCGAUGGGGAUAAAAGCAACAAAAAGAGUCGAAAUAUUAGUUGAAAACUUACGAUGUUAUCGGGGACCUUGUACUUAGGGUCGAUCAUGCCACGGUAUGUUAGAGCCGAUGUGCAGAACAGGUGUUCCUUCCACUCUUCCCACCACUGCUUGUACAUCUGAGUAAUGAGAAGGGCUGGGAUCCAUGUUGAUAAAUCAAUGUCUGACGUAUCGGCAUUUGGCUGAAGAAGAGCUAUUCUUAUCCACUCAAGUCCGCUGGUUAUGGUCUCCCUUGGCUUCACUACAUCAGCAUAGCAGAGUCCAAUCGGCACCUGUCCAAAAGCUAGUUGACAAGCCAGUGCCGAUGGGUUAUAGAACUCAUAGGUGGGGUUGGAAGUCUUCCCACUGCCAAAGAAAUUCACUGGUAUGGCCCUUGGAGAAAUAAUUGCCAUCAUCAGGUCAUGGUCCUUAUUAAGGGCGUCAUCAAAAGGGUGGAAAGUGAGCGGAAAUCUGGUUUCUAGAUCCUCAUAAGGCAUCCAUGCCCGCUGAUCUUUGGCAAGACCCUCAUAGAGAGUUUGGAAGAAUCGGCUGACCUGGUCUUUGUUGCCACAAGUACCAGAUAAAACUAUGGCAGCUUCACCAUAGUUCAAGGGUGAGCGAGUUGUCGAUUCUUCAUCAUCCAAUUCAUGAUCUUCAGCGAUGUCUCUGGGAAAACACUGUGCAAAGAGGUCAAAUCCGAGGCGUUUGUGCAUGUGAACACUGAGCCACAUGUUGAUGAACCACUGUUGACGGUCCUUAAUGCUCAUAUUUAACCAUCAAGUAAUCAUGGAAAAGGAUCCAAAUGCAACCAACACCUAGACUUAGGGUUUUAUCUGACAGAAUUCCACGAGUUUUGGUGUUUGUCUAUUUCUGCAGGGGGUUAUUAGGAAAUAUGGAGGAAAGGCCCACACGUCGGGUUUACAUAGAGAUAUUAACGUGCCGCGCAAUUUUCUACCAUCUAGAAGACUCCAAAAGCCACGGGAAGGAAGCGGAGGCCGAGAGGACUCAGGGACAGGGCGCCCGCCCUCCUUUCCUGGGCGCCCGCCCUCAACCAGAGUCCAAUCAGGACUCUCUUUCGGGAUAUUGCUCCACCGACCUAAAGGAUCAAGGAUAACCAUUCAAUCAAUGUCGGUUUGAUCCAACGGCCUAGAUUCACUUGAAGGGACUAUAAAACCAGACCCCCUGGCCCCUGGAGAUCAUACCUCUUCUACAGAAUCAAAGCUAGGGUUUCAAUUCUUCAUCCAAGUAGAGAGGAUCCCUCUAGUUCUUCUAGUUCUAUCUCUAGUUCAUCUAGAUCUAGUUCUAGUUCAUCUAGUUCUAGUUCUAGUUCCUCUAGUUCUAGUUCUAGUUAGUUCUAGUUGUAAUAUAGAAAAUAGGGAGAGAGAAGAGGAGAGCGGAGGAGGAGCCGGGUCUGUCGGAUCUUCCUCAACAUUGUACUUUUGCAGCAACUAGUUCGUCCUUCAUCAUUCUCUAGGUUCUUCAAUUUAUAAUUCCUGAGAUCUCUAAUUACUUUUAUUUACAUUCAAAUUAUUUAUUGGAUUCCCGCUUGCAUCAAGUGCACUAGUCUUUAUAACGCUAGAGUAGUAAUUAAUAGAUUAGACGUGGUGUUUAGUCUUGCAAUUACCUGUAAUUGCACCCAAUCCUGCGGAUUGUUGUGGUAGCCUUAGGGUAGUGACAGCCCUAACGGUCGACGUAUUCUACCACGUUCGGAUCGGUGUUUGUAGGACCGUAGUCAGACCUUCCUAGCCCCCUUCUCAUCUCUUUCUGUGGUUAGUGCUCUGAUGUCCCGAUAUAGAUAAUCUUGAAGUAAUUCUUGAUUCUUAGAUCAACUAGAGAACUCUCAGGAAACUUCCUCUCUUCCCACCAAAAAUAAUUAUAUAGUUAUCCUUGGGCGAUCUUGGAUCUUAAUUAGUACACUCACGUUCCCUGUGGAAAAUCGACACUCUGGAAUACUCCCGGGUGAAGGUUACAUCGGUAUCCGUGUGCUUGCGGUUUUUUCUGUUUGCGUUUAAAAUACCCAACAAGCUUUCUGGCGCCAUUGCCGGGGAACGGUAGUUGUGCUAGUUUCGAACCAAGUCGUCCGUGUAUCCUUUUUCUUUUCCUUUUUUACCACACUCACCUUAUCAUUUUCACCACACCACAUGGAUUUCACUCUAAGCAUUAAUGAGCAUGGAAUUUAUUUCAUAGCCACUUCAUUUGCUCCAUGCUCAUAUGCAACAUCUUCAAAAUCCAUUGGUCUCUCCAACCUCACCACAUUCGAGAUCUCCAACCCCCUCAUCCUUUCUAUUUAUAAAAAUUUUAAAAGGGCGGUUGUCGAUGCAUAUGUCUAUAAGAAAUAUUGUAGAUCUCGUUGAGUUGAUCUUGAUAUAGGUCAGCGUUGGAGGGGAAACCACUUCGCCGACAUAAACUGAUGGUUUCCCAAGGAUAAGCUUAGUGUCCUAAAACAAGCACUAAUUAGAUCAUAACAUGAGCUUUUAAUUAUUUGCAACAUUACCUUGUGUAUUGAGCAUAUAAGGAUAAUUGUAAAAAUAUUCCUUCGGGUAUUCUUGUCACUAACCUUUCCAGGAUUGGAGCAAGAAGAUUGGAUGAAUGACAAGCACAAGGUAUGUCCAACCAAUCAUCAUACAACAUUGAGUUAAAUUCAUCCAAACUUGAAUUUUGCAAAAUUCAAGCUUGGGGGAGUACUUUAAAUAAAAACAUCCUUUGCCAUGUUGCUAUGUUGGUUGUCCCUACCUUUGAGACAUGCUCAAUUUGUUAAAUACUAAUCACACUACUUCAUCUCCACUUGAGUAGAUCUCUAUAAAUGCUCUCAUGCUAACUUUAUUUGCUUUAGUAUAUGUCUAGGUUUGGAGUAGUUUCAUUUAUCUCUUAAUUAAGCAUGGUGCGUAGUUUAGGGCUGAUGAUCUUACUUCCAAGGGAUUUUAAAUUAAGCAUGGUGCUUAGGUUAAAAUGCCCUCCUAAAUCAAAUUAGACAUGGUGUCUAGGUUGAUUUUUGAGCCGAUAGUAUGCUAUAGUAGAUAUUGGAUAUUUUGUUGGACUAACCCCUAUAGGAAAACUUUCAAUAUCGACCUGGGAAGUCCUGAGAUAAACUCACAUUGGAGACAAAGAGAGAGGCACAUGAAGGUUAACAAUUUACACAAGGAAGGCAUAGCCCACAAGAGAUGAUCCAUGGAGGGUGCCACAAACACGAUGCACAACCGCUAAGAAAGGAAAGCUUCCACAAGGUGAUACUGUACCGUCACUCUUCAAGUAAGGUAACAUCUUAAGGUACUUGACUAUCACUUCUAUAAGUUUCUCCUUGGUUCUGGCGUUCACAUGAAUAAAAGAGACAAACACGUAUGAUUUAUAACUCCAAAUUAACCAACCGAACUGAUUCAACAUGUUUUGUCCUUCCACCUUUGUGAUCCCACACUCCUAAUCAUAUGAGCUAAAGUGUUGCACACUCAGUCUUUGGAAGAUAUAUAUAUAAAAAGAGAAAACACAUAAGUAUAGAUAGAUUAUCUUUCCAUUAGGUUGAGCAAUCUGAUCUAACAAAUGUUUUAAAUGCUACACUCAUGAUCUUAUUAUCCAUCAACUUUGUCUUGCUCACUAUGCUUAAGGUUAGAGAGAACAAAUACACUUUUGGUUCUGUUGGUGUUUUCCACCAACAGGGCUCAUGCACUUGAUCUCUGCCUUGUCUCUAUAAGCAGGUACACUUCGAACAAAAUAUGAAGGAGUUUUACAACUCCCAGACUCCACCAAGUGAAGAACCUAGAUCUACGAGCACAAACACAUUGGAGAUACUGGACACUCAGGCAAUCACUGCCCUAAGAUGCUUGAGGACGUAACUACUAGAGUAACCCCAUUGUGGAAGUAAUUACUGACCUUCUACCGGUCAAGAGAGACAACUCAGGACGCCCCAUCAUCCCGAUCUCCAUCGGCAUGGUGGACUUCCCAGAAGCACUCUGCGACUUUGGCUCUAGCGUCAACAUUAUGCCCAGGGUACUCUAUGAAAAAUUCUUUACACAUCCUUUAUUAGAAACAGCCAUGUGUUUGCAGCUUGCAGAUCGUACGCUAAGUUUCCCAAAGAGAAUAUUGAAGAACCUCUACAUCCGAGUUGGUACCUUAUAUGCUCCAGCAGACUUCGUGGUGAUAGAGACUGAUACUGAUGAGAGGGCACCCAUCAUCUUAGGGAGGCCAUUCCUAAACACCUCAGGAGCUGUCAUCUACGCUAGUGCUGCCAAGAUCAGUUUCUACAUCAAGGGAGGGAAGAAGACGUUUUCCUUAAAAAACAAGACUACACAAUUCUCAGAGCAAUCCUGACAUGAACUAAGGAAGAGGACCAAUAGGAGGAACAGAAACUAGCAAAUGUGGACCGAGUCAGCUAAGAUGGUCACUGCAGUUCAAGGAAGUCAAGAUCGUCGACUUAAGUCACCGUUUAUGACCAAAAAGGAUGACCCAGUCACCAAUCAGCUCCUGUUCGGAACCAUGCCCCUAAAACCGACAUACAUUCAGCUUCAGAUGGCACAUCAGACGUUCCGAAAGGUUGAAGACGAGUACGAUCCAUCCAUCAUCCUUAGGAGACCGUUCCUCAGCACCGUUAAAGCAAUCAUCAACAUUGGAACUGGAGAAGUCCACAUGCACUUCCUCUCUGAGAAGGUACGCCGCUAUUUUACUGACCCUAACUAUAUAGUUGAAGACUCUAAGCAGGUCAGGACAAGAAGAAGACGACGCAACCGCAACCAGAGAAGGCAAAUCAUCAAGGAUGGAUGGGCGGACUACGAAGGAGAAGUUGUAAGGUCUGAAGACAUACAACUUGAACAGAACUGUCCUGAGGAGACCAUAGCACCGAGUCAGGUGUGGAGAGAGAAGAUAGUUAUAUAUGAAGACCAGGCGCUGCCGGAACCACCGACUACGCCAUCCAGCGAAUCCCAGGACGAGCGAAUCCUAGGACGACUAAGAAAACGAAGUCCGGUUCGGAGGACUUAAAAACACCGAACGCCUUGCCAAGAGGUAAACUUGGUAGUUAUCUUUUUCCCUUCAAUUAUUUAAAAUAGUUUGCUUAGUUAAUCAGGUUCAUACCAUAUUGAAAAGAAAAUAAAAAUGUUAACAAUAGUAAGCCCCAUGUGAGUAUGCUCAUGGCAUAAAACCCAUAAAUACAUUCACUGUGGUGACAUUCAAAUACACCUCCGCCACCUACUAGCUACAUCAGGAGAAAUUACGUCAAAAUCCAGCUUGGGGGAGAGUGCCCCCAUUUAUCCAGCUAAGUGUUCUACUCACGUUUAAACUUUACUCAAAUAAUAAAAAGAUGCAUAAUCAUAAAAACCUAAAUAAAGAUUUUGUGCUUAUAUAUAUCUUUGCUUAGUUUGCUAAAUAAAUAAAUAAAUAAAGUUUGCUAUGAACCCUCAUGAUAAGCUCUCACAUGGAAAUGAUAAAUAGUUGCUCUGCCAUGACUAGUUCUCAAAAUUGAAAUCUCUCUCAAGUUUAGGCAUGACUGUUAUUAAUUAAGAUUUGCUCUAAAUCUGAACUUGUGGGAAGAGUACUUGAUCUAAAGUCUAAGUCAUUAACGGAUGCGAUAUGGGAAGGUUGAGCUACUGUUUAUCUGUUCCUAGAGAUGCUAGAAUUCUAGAGAAUUUUUUCUUUGAAAAUCUUUAAAAUGUUGCAUGAUGAGUUCCUGUAUGAUGAGAGUUUAAAUUCCUACCACAGCCAUAUAUACAUGCUUAUUAGACUAUGAACCACACAUUUACUUUACUACUUAUGAGCAUUGAGUGUGGUCAAGCUGUGUAGACCCUUAGGAGCUUGUCAUGUGGUUAAAUCAAGAUUCACUUGCACGUUCACUCAUACAUGCUGCUUCUACUCCGGAAGUACGCAUCCACAUGUAUCCACUCAUUUCCAUCACCAGAAUCACAUAAAAAUAUUCUACUCCUAAUCCGGGAGAGAAUAGCCAAAAACAUUUAUAUUUUUCCCCUGUGAAAUAAAUGCUCAAGUUAUCUUGGUUACUACCACUUGCUAUAUUAUUUCGAGAGAUGAGUGCUCUAAUUAAAAAAAAGAGAGAGAAAGAGAAAAAAAAGUGAAUACGAGGAAAUAAAAAGGGGCAAGUGCCCGGAACCUCGAAGAAAAGAAAAAGUGAGACGAGAGGUAAAAAUAGACAAGUGUCCGACAGUAGAAUUAGGGGUACAAGAUACCCACCUGAGAGAAAAGAAAAAAAAGAAAGAAAAUAUAGAGCAUCUCAUUCCCCUCAAAAAACUUCAAAGUGCAAGAAAGGUAUGUAUCCCCUCAAAAGAGCAAACAUAGAAUUAGACUUUCACCAUUGUUAUCACCAUCAUCACCAUACACCAUUCAUUCGCCACACAUGCACAUCUUGAUUUGACUUAUUGACUUGUUCUUCUGGAUCCAUGGUUUGACUAUGCAAUAAAUGUCUUGUAAGUAUGUAUUAGCUGUCUCCCACCUAUGAGCUCUAGAUAUCAAAACCUUAUUAGAGUAGGGUGAGAGAGAAGGCAAUGCCACUAUGCCUCAUACUAAAAAUACCACAUACUUUGAGAGAAGGCAUACACCAUUACUGCCUUGGUAAGGAUCCAGAAAUACCACAAAAGAGAGACUAGAGAGAGUCAUACAAGGAAUCUCUGAGUUUUAUUUGAAAAUCUGCAAAAACUCCAGAGCUAUAGCUGAUCAAGAAUAAGAGACAUGGUGCUUGACGAGACCGUUGUAUCUUUUAACUGCUCAAGACACAGGUGACGGUUGCAAGCCCCAUGGUGGAAGGUAAAAUGAGUAAAUUUAAAUCUUAACAGUUUAUCCUAACCCAGAGAUGAGAUCUUGUUUGAACGCAUGUGUAUCUUUAAGGCAUGAAACCACUGCAGAAACUCUUGAGUUCAUCUUUGCUCAGGGACGAGCAAAGGUUAAGCUUGGGGGAGCUUGUUGACGGUCCUUAAUGCUCAUAUUUAACCAUCAAGUAAUCAUGGAAAAGGAUCCAAAUGCAACCAACACCUAGACUUAGGGUUUUAUCUGACAGAAUUCCACGAGUUUUGGUGUUUGUCUAUUUCUGCAGGGGGUUAUCAGGAAAUAUGGAGGAAAGGCCCACACGUCGGGUUUACAUAGAGAUAUUAACGUGCUGCGCAAUUUUCUACCAUCUAGAAGACUCCAGAAGCCACAGGAAGGAAGCGGAGGCCGAGAGGACUCAGGGAUAGGGCGCCCGCCCUCCUUUCCUGGGCGCCCGCCCUCAACCAGAGUCCAAUCAGGACUCUCUUUCGGGAUAUUGCUCCACCGACCUAAAGGAUUAAGGAUAACUGUUCAAUCAAUGUCAGUUUGAUCCAACGGCCCAGAUUCACUUGAAGGGACUAUAAAACCAGACCCCCUGGCCCCUGGAGAUCAUACCUCUUCUACAGAAUCAAAGCUAGGGUUUCAAUUCUUCAUCCAAGUAGAGAAGAUAACUCUAGUUCUUCUAGUUCUACCUCUAGUUCAUCUAGAUCUAGUUCUAGUUCAUCUAGUUCUAGUUCUAGUUCCUCUAGUUCUAGUUCUAGUUAGUUCUAGUUGUAAUCUAGAAAAUAGGGAG